rnacentral:rRNA from 1 species
UACGGAGGGUGCGAGCGUUGUCCGGAAUCACUGGGCGUAAAGGGCGCGUAGGUGGCCCGUUAAGUGGCUGGUGAAAUCCCGGGGCUCAACUCCGGGGCUGCCGGUCAGACUGGCGAGCUAGAGCACGGUAGGGGCGAGAUGGAAUUCCCGGUGUAGCAGUGAAAUGCGUAGAGAUCGUAAGGAAGACCAGUGGCGAAGGCGAGUUUCUGGACAGUUACUGACGCUGAGGCACGAAAGCUAGGGGAGCAAACGGG